GAUGAACGCUAGCGGCAGGCCUAAUACAUGCAAGUCGGACGGGAUCCAGGAUAAGCUUGCUUAUUCUGGUGAGAGUGGCGCACGGGUGCGUAACGCGUGAGCAACCUGCCCAUAUCAGGGGGAUAGCCUCUCGAAAGAGAGAUUAAUACCGCAUAAUAUAAAAUUACCGCAUGGUGAAUUUAUUAAAUAUUUAUAGGAUAUGGAUGGGCUCGCGUGACAUUAGCUAGUUGGUAGGGUAACGGCCUACCAAGGCGACGAUGUCUAGGGGCUCUGAGAGGAGAAUCCCCCACACUGGUACUGAGACACGGACCAGACUCCUACGGGAGGCAGCAGUAAGGAAUAUUGGUCAAUGGGCGGAAGCCUGAACCAGCCAUGCCGCGUGCAGGAAGACAGCCCUAUGGGUUGUAAACUGCUUUUGUACGGGAACAAACCUGGGUACGUGUACCCAUCUGAGUGUACCGUAAGAAUAAGGAUCGGCUAACUCCGUGCCAGCAGCCGCGGUAAUACGGAGGAUCCGAGCGUUAUCCGGAUUUAUUGGGUUUAAAGGGUGCGUAGGCGGGUUUUUAAGUCAGUGGUGAAAGACGGUGGCUCAACCAUCGCAGUGCCUUUGAUACUGAAGACCUUGAAUCCGUUUGAAGUGGGCGGAAUAAGACAAGUAGCGGUGAAAUGCAUAGAUAUGUCUUAGAACUCCGAUUGCGAAGGCAGCUCACUAAGCCGGUAUUGACGCUGAUGCACGAAAGCGUGGGGAUCGAACAGGAUUAGAUACCCUGGUAGUCCACGCCCUAAACGAUGAUAACUCGAUGUUGGCGAUAGACAGCCAGUGUCCCAGCGAAAGCGUUAAGUUAUCCACCUGGGGAGUACGCCCGCAAGGGUGAAACUCAAAGGAAUUGACGGGGGCCCGCACAAGCGGAGGAGCAUGUGGUUUAAUUCGAUGAUACGCGAGGAACCUUACCCGGGCUUGAAAGUUACUGAAUCAUCCAGAGACGGAUGAGUCCUUCGGGACAGGAAACUAGGUGCUGCAUGGCUGUCGUCAGCUCGUGCCGUGAGGUGUUGGGUUAAGUCCCGCAACGAGCGCAACCCCUAUGUUUAGUUGCCAGCAUGUAGUGGUGGGGACUCUAAACAGACUGCCUGCGCAAGCAGCGAGGAAGGCGGGGACGACGUCAAGUCAUCAUGGCCCUUACGUCCGGGGCUACACACGUGCUACAAUGGGCGGUACAGCGGGCAGCUAGGCAGUAAUGCCAUGCUAAUCUCUAAAAGCCGUUCACAGUUCGGAUCGGGGUCUGCAACUCGACCCCGUGAAGUUGGAUUCGCUAGUAAUCGCGUAUCAGCAAUGACGCGGUGAAUACGUUCCCGGGCCUUGUACACACCGC
rnacentral:rRNA from 1 species